AAGUGAGGAGUUACUGUAUUAGAAAAAAAUUAUUUAAAAGUCCUUUAGAAAUAAAGCCUGGUACUGCUAGAGUUUGAGGCCCUUUGAGUCCCACUGAAGGACAGCAGUCCACACAAACUAAUAUGUAGUUGACAGUGUUUUAAAAAAUGUCAAAGGACACUUCACUAAGUAAGCUGGGGUAGGGCAGAGGGAGGGAGUUUGAAACCACUGGGCCACUGCCCCCAGCCACUGGAGAGUAAUGUCAGUGGGAGUUGAGGGUUCUCAGUGCCUUCCAGGAGGCCUCAGCACCUCACAAGAUUGAUACUGCAAAGAUCUAUGUUAAUAAAAAUCAUUGCUUGCACUGAAGAGAGUAAGGAAGGAGUGGGCUUGCCUGUAUUGAUUAAGCUCAUCCCCCUUUCUAGGUGUUGUCUGCUAUACCAUCUUUUGCCAGGAACUAUUUUUAUCUUGGCUCAUAAAGAUAUUUAUGAAAAACAAAUACUUUACCUUAGAAUUGACCAUGUAUCUGUCAUGUCCAAUAGUUUAAAAAAAAAUUGGGAACCUGCUUUGCAUUGCAUCACUAUUUCAUUGGAUUUCCCCAGUGUAAGGGAGAUCCUCUGGUAAUACAGAUAUUGGUGUAGGCUCUUAAACCACACCCCAGUAGCUGCUUCUGUGUGGGCAUGGCUAUGACAUGCCUAACUAAGUCCACCCUUGACUGCUGUUUAAUUAUCUUGGGGCUGUUAGCAGCCCGUGCAUAUUUAAAAAAAAAAAAUCAGUUAGGCAGCAAUUAUGCCUGGGGACCAGCUCUGUACGCAGUAACCCCAGGACUGAGGGAGUGCAAAAGUAAGUUUCAUGCCAACUUUGCCCUACUCAGGACUUGCAGCAUGUGCUACUCAGCCAUGUCCAAAGGUCUGACCCUUUAUCUCUCUUCUCUCAUGCAAAUUACUCAUUAUACACUGGAUAAAGUAGUAGAUAAUGGUGGCUCAGGCAUAAUUUAACUCAAAUAUUGAAAGCUCUUAAUUAGGGCCAUCAUAAUGGACAGUUACAGAAAAUAAUAACCCUGGGGUAAUGGGAAAAUUUCUGAUGUGGAUUAAAAUCUUGUAAAAUGGUGUUUGAAAAGACAGACAAAUAAAUAAAAGGAGAGAAAACAAUAGGGAAUUAUUUUUCAAAGGGGAAUGACUCAUUCCUAAAAACUGACUUUUACAAUAUACAGUUGAAGUGGGGGUGGGGGGGUGUGACGUUGAUGAAGUUUGCUGUUGACCCUAAAUUGCUCCCAUUAUUAAAAUCUCCAGAUGCAUUUAAUUGCGUUGUAGAUGGGUGGCUAGAGGAAUAGUGGGAUUUAUUUAUUCUGUCUUGUCACUCGAUACAAAACUGGAAGUACUUUACUAUGAUGAUGAGGGCCAUAUAAGAACAUGAAUAGAAUAAGAGAGGGAAAAACCUAAGUAUAUUUUGUCAGAAGCUAGAACUGUUAGAAUUAACUUGAUCGAUGGUCUUAGAAUUAUGGAGGGCAGAACAAAACAUUAUCUGUCUCUCAUUUCACUUUGUCCCAAUAGAUGAAAACCAAGAUGACGCCUGAAAAAAAGUAAAUAUAGAUGAUAUAUUUGUAACUACUUGUAACUUUCUAGACGAAAGUGAUGGUGGUGUUUUUUUCCUUUGUGUUCACUAUAUUUACAAGAACAAAUCAAUCAUUACAAUGUACCUGCAUGUAGUAAUUUGAACUUCAGUAGUGAAACUACUUGGUAUGUUUAGUGAAAAAUGAGAAAUAGAAAUAUGAAUUCAGAGCUACGAUAAGAAACACACAUCCACUGAAACAAUGAAGCUGUACUUGCUUCCACCAAGUCCGAAUAUGGCCUUUAGUCAAUAAAGUAAGAUAAUACAAAUUGUUUUUGGUCAAAUAAAUGUGUCCUUUUCCUUUUCUGUCUAUGUAGCUCCUGAAUACAAGACUUUUUCCCCUUAAUUCCAUGAUGGUAGAAAAUGGGUAUGCAACUUCCAGAUGGAAUGUUCGUUUCAACACUGAUUGAUUGGCACAGCUUCCUACCGGAAUAUUUGCAUCAACUCGAGGCCUCUACCAGAUGUAGCCCUGACGGGGAAAUGUACUCGAGAGUGUGAUGAAUAUGGUCACUCGGACUCCUGCUGGAUGCCAGUUCGCACUUCGCCUGAAAGGAAGCAGAAGAGCCAGCCAAAACUCUCCACCUUCAUGCCUGUUGAUGAACGGGGCAGUCAGGAAAAGCUAGCCAAUGGAGAAGCCUCCCUCAUGGGUGAUCGCAACAGAAACCUCCUGAACAAAAAGUUGACCUCAUCCUAUGAGACCUUCAACGCAGCUAGCUUCAGCAAAAAUGAGGAAGCCAAUCCAGAGGAUAUCCCCCUUACACAGACAGGGGAAUACAAGCCAUCUCCUGUCAAUACUCUAACUAGAAGAGAAGUUUACCUGUAGGUUAUAAAGAAGCCACAACAAGGUUCAUUCAUGUAUAAGAAGGAUAAGGGGCAAAAAAUCUUAAAAUCAAAACAGUUUAGCACGAAAAAAGGAGGGGGGAAAAAAGAGGGGGCCACCAAAGAGACAAAAGCUUUGCCUGCCACUUCUGCCUCCAUAUCAGGCAUUUAAUUAUAUAGUCCGCCUGACUAUACUGUACAAUGUAGAAACCAUUGUUGUUACUUGCAUGUCUAAUCCCCCUCACUGAUUUUUAUUUUCUUAAAUUUCUGGUUGCAAAUUGCUUUCAUGGUAACAAGCCUGAUUAAAAGAACACAACACACUGUUGUUACCCCUCUGCUGAAGCAUGAUUUAAGCCACUCUGAUUUUGUUUGAUUGUCACCUGGCUUGUUAAGGAUAACCGGUCAGGGAAAAUAUACUCCAAGCAUAUCAUCUGAAUAUUGCUGAUCCCCAUCAGGGAUGAUCCUUUAGAAACCAUACAAACAUAGAGGUAAAUAUAAAGAGAUGGCCAUUAAUAGGCACUUUGUGAAGAUCACAGCUUUAAUUUUCUCACCUGAGGCUUGAAACAAGAGAAUUAUACUCCGCCUGAGACUGUAGUCCAAAAGGUGGCAUAUUUCCCUAUGAAUCAUGAACUCUGGGUUCUGUUUUUAUCCAUAGAAUGAACUCUAUCGGCUUACUUCAGCGUAACAAAAUUAAUGUCAUAUGUACCGUAGCAUACUAAUGAUAAACUGUUAAACUCAUGUUAUUUUGGACAAGACGUAUAUCUAGUUGGGAUGAUCAUAGUAACUAAAAAGGCCAAAGAUCGCACUAUGGAUCAGGGGAAUUGCUAAGUAUUUGGUCUUGGCUUAGAAAUCUAGUGUACCAACAAACCAUAUGCAUGCACACAUAAAUACACAUUCAAUUACAUUUUGCACAGCAGCAUAGUCCACAAUCCCAGAUGACCUACUACUACUUCAAUGGAUUUUAGUAGAAUGCCCGAAGGAACCGCUAAGAUGUUUGCUGAUAAUGUUAUAACAACAUACAGCAUCUAUUGUAUGAUAUGAUACUGCCAGUUCCAAGGAAUAUUUUCCAAAAGGUUACCUUUUAAAUAAAUAAAUAAAACUCAGAGGCUGUGUUGAUGUCACCCAGAACACUUUUGGGGGAAGAUGGAUGGCGGGGAAAUGGUGUGAUGCAGUGACAAGAGUAUAUUGCAAGUCAAGUAAAAUUUCUUCUUUUCACAGUGCAAGAUAUGCUUGCUAAAUCUUUUGUCAUCAAUGUUGCUAACUGUGUUUGUGAAAGGUAUGAUGCAGGUUUUCUUGAAACACAAGUGCAUUAAAACAGUCCUGUGCAAUAUGAAACAAUGUCAAGACUCAACACACUUAAGGAGGGUAAUAAAUGGUCAGAUUGACUUGAACAUUGAUAUGAUACUUUACAUGGUAGAUUGAGAGAAGUCACAAGGAAUCCAAACUAAUCAUGAUAGCAAAGAGCUAUGGCCAGUGACGAUUCUCACAGUAUGCACUUCGUAAAGGGAAUAGGAAACAAAACAGCUUUUUUGUGCAAUAAAAGCAACAAAAUGUAUAAGAAGGACUUGAGCUAGUUGCUUCGUAGCUGAUGAUGUAGUAAUAAUUGAAUACUGAAUUCAGACAUUCAGAUGAAAAUGACAAUCAGUCAACACAGUGCGGACAGUUUGAGAAGGGUGCAAACAUUCUAAUCCCUGGGUGUUUAACCUGGCAUUAGGGCAUGGCUAGAUGGCUGUCUAGUAGACUGUAGUCACAAUGUAGCUUUGGGUAGUUUCUUCCUUUUGAAGAAUUACAUAGAAAAUAUAACAUUAAACAGCCUGAAAUAUAGGUUGAUAAAUCAGUACAACUCAUCACAACAUUUACUUUUCAAAUUCUCUUCUCUAUAUAGAGGGGUGCCCUUUUUGGCCAUUACAUUCCCCUCUUAAGUUUAGUUUUCAUUUUGAUGCUAGUUUGUGUGUAGAAGUUAUGAUGAAUGGAGACAUGUUAUGAAGAAAAAAUAUUAAAACAAAGAUUAAUAAUUGAACUUUUUUACAUUUAAUUAUUUAAAUUAUGGAGAGAUGCAAAUUAGUACUUUAUGAUAAGACUGUAAAGAAAAGUUACUGCAUUGUAUAAUCUGUAAGUACCUGUUAAGGGGGAAAAAAAGAUUCUAAAGAUGCUUCUGUAAUGUAUACACAGUUUUAUUGCACGCUUCAACAGAAUUGCAUAACAGAUGUUCAACAAAACUUUUUUUCUUUAAUAGGAACUUUUUAUCUUAAUACUACAGUUGAAAACCACUAGAUGACUUGUUUAAGUACAUCUUUAAACCCUUUGUCUAAAAAGCUAAUAACACAGGUCAAACAAGACCUUCAGAUUAAAUGGAUCAGCAGUCACUCACCUGUUUUUGCACCACAUAAGGCAGUCAUGCCAUUGUCAUUUACUUGUGAGCAACUCCUUAGAACGAAAAUGGGUGUGAAAAGAAUAAAAAAAAAUCAAUCUACUUUAAAUAUUCACAGUACUUCUAGUAGAACUACCCAUCAUAACAUGUCAAUUACUAUUAUGACCUGGCAUGACACAGAAAUACAUUUUGUGUUUGUAGUUUUUUUCAUUUGAAAUAGGUUAAUCUGGUGCCACUCCACAUAUAGAGUGCUUUUGUAAAAAUAAACACAAACGAAAUGAAGUAUAAAAAAAAAAAAAAUUUAAGAGCGAAUGCAAAAUAUGCAACCGUGCCUUUUAUACCUGUUGUUAUAGUAGAAAGGUGAUUGGGUUUGGGCACUGAGGGGUAAUGGGCUAUUCCCAACUUUUUUGAACCUGUAUAUUGAUCCUUGUUUAUUUUCUGAUAAAUUAUAAAUAAUAUAUUUAAAAAAAUGCCUUCUGCCAAACUCCGAUAUUGGACCAGUCUUAAGUAUCUUUGAUUAUGAAAACCAGAUUGUAGCUUAGGUAUGUGCUGCUUUUUUGUUUUCCUUCCAAUCUAUUGCCUAGAAGGCUACAGUAUAGAUCACAAUAGGUAAAUACCAUAUAGUUAUUUAGCAAGGUGUCAUAAGUUCAUUUUGCCAGGAAAAUUGAUGAUUUAGUGUCGCUUAAUUGCUUCUAGCUGCCAUUCCAUUUUGGUUGUACAGUAUAAAAAUUGUCCUUUUUUUCCUUCCAUGGGAAACUCAAAUGAACUUUGCAUGUAUUUUACAUUAGGACACAUUUAUAGAUGACGCAUAACUAUAUAACUUUAUAUGUAUUAGAGAAGUCUGUAGCUUCAGUCUAAAAUCUAAUGCUCCCUCUGAACCUCCAGAUCUACUAUAUUAUUCAAUAUGGUUUCUGACUGGCCUGCUGCCUGAGUUUCAGAAAAAAACAAACAAGGUAGACAUUAUUUUUAUGUGAGGAAGAACUAAAACGGGAUCGAAGAUGCUUGGCUGAAAGGCUACCCUAGGAAGUUGUCAAGUAGGAAAUGUAGAGCAAAGCCAAAUGAAUCUGCCAUAAAUACAGCUGUUGCUAAAAGGCUUUUAAGGAACUUGAACAACAAAGCAGUUUCGUAUGUUAUAUCAGUUAUAAAUAUACAGUGUUUCCUUAAGAAAUGAAAGAGAGUAGAGGACAACAGUAGAAAUGAAUGUAGUCCAGCAAUUAAACUGAGCUGCUGCCCGAAGAGCAUAACACAUGGAAGAAGGCAUCAUUUUCCAGCUACCUGGGGUACACUUUCAGACAACUUUUUCCUAAAUUUUAAAGCACUUGCAUUCAGUGUGGUACGAUCUGUUUGUAAUAUUAAUCAUUGACUAUUGUUCUGCAACUUGGAUGUUGAUAGUGAAGCAGAGAACAAUUUAUCAUUGUUUAUUAUGAGUCACUAUGCACGCACCUAUGCUAAACAUGGCAAAAUGUAUUAAAUGCUAGUCCACCUCUAUUUAUGAAAUAUUUUACAUAAUUUAAUUUGCUUUUGUACAGUUUUAUGUAAAUAAAUUGCUUGUCAUUUUUGUCUCUGCAAAUUAAAAAUAUAACAUGUUCAAAUGGUUGCCUAUUGGCCAGCGUACUUUCUCUGACAGGUUAUUUCACUUUGGAAGACAUUGAACAAAUUCAUAGGCUAGUUUGAGCAGAACAUUCAGAUCUAUUUCAUGCAUGUAAAAAAAAAAUGCUGCUCUGGUAACUGGCCCCUUCAGCUGGCAAUGUAACUGUGGCAUUACUUUUCUCUGUAGUGAAGUGCACUAUGGAUUAGUUACAUUCCACACUUCAAGUUCUGACUACUACUUGGCCUGUUUUAACUGGAGAAAUAAAAUAUUUGGCAUGGUAGUACUUCUUUCCCUUUAACAUUGAAAGUGACCUGUCUUUUUAAAGCAUUUAGAAAAUGUUUACAUUAAAG